GCGGGUGUAGCUCAGUGGUUAGAGCGCCUGACUGUGACUCAGGAGGCCGCGGGUUCAAGUCCCGUCAUCCGCCCCA
rnacentral:tRNA from 1 species